rnacentral:misc_RNA from 1 species
CGCACCUUGCGCCCCUUGGUAUUCCGAGGGGCAUGCCUGUUUGAGUGUCAUGUAGACUCAACCCCCCGGGUUCCUGACCCGGGCGGAGUUGGAUUUGGGCCCUGCCUACCCUGGCUGGCCUUAAAUGAGUUAGCGGAUGGCCGCACGGACGUUGUAAGCACUCGUCCAAGGUCCCGCUCACAGAACCCACCUACUUUGCACUCUGACCUCAAAUCAGGUAGGGCUACCCGCUGAACUUAA